CUCCUCCCCCUCUCCCCCCCCACAAGGAGAGAAUUGCAAACUCUCUACAAGAAGAAAAAGAUCCCUGCCAAUAUCACAAAUGUCGCCGUGGCCGCGCUCUAAAAACUCUUCACAUUGUUGAAGAGAUUGAGGAAUUUUUGCAGUCAUGGGCUCAAUCAUGUCAAUCUGAAACUGCAGAAUCAUCUAUUGAGUCGCCGGUGACGUCGGAGGUAACAUCUCCAUUUGUGUAUUUUUGGAUGUGAUUCGGGCAAAUGCGGCUCGACUCGUCCGCCUAAGGCACCCUGGAGUGGUUCGCGUGGUCCAGGCGCUAUAGAGCUGACGAGCUCGAGCUCGAGCUCGGGGUCAAUUUCUCGAGCUCGAGCUCGAGUUCGAGCUUGGGAAUGCAGUGUCGAGCUCGAGCUCGAGCUCAACCUGGGCGAGCUCGGCGAGCUCGAGCUCGAGCUCGAGCUUGAAGUUGCAGAGUCGAGCUCGAGCUCGAGCUCAACAAAAAUGGCCGAGCUCGACUCGAGCUCGACUCGUUGCCACCCCUAGUUGUAAUUCAUCAUGGACCAAGCGUACCAUUUGCUCUUCUUGUAUCACAAGGGUUUACUCCCCUCGUUCCAAUGGUGGUGUUUCUUCUAUAGGUCUUCAGCUACCUCGCGUCCUUGGAACUAAUCCGGGUUGCAGGUCAUCAACUACUUCACUUCCUUGGAAUGGUUUUGGGACAU